rnacentral:rRNA from 1 species
UACGUAGGGGGCUAGCGUUGUCCGGAAUCAUUGGGCGUAAAGCGCGUGUAGGCGGUCCGGUAAGUCCGCUGUGAAAGUCGAGGCUCAACCCUCGAAUGCCGGUGGAUACUGUCGGGCUAGAGUACGGAAGAGGCGAGUGGAAUUCCUGGUGUAGCGGUGAAAUGCGCAGAUAUCAGGAGGAACACCAAUUGCGAAGGCGGUCUCUGGGCAUUACCUGACGCUGAGGAGCGAAAGCAUGGGGAGCGAACAGGA